rnacentral:rRNA from 1 species
ACGAACGCUGGCGGCGUGCUUAACACAUGCAAGUCGCACGGAAGGCCCUGCUUUUGUGGGGUGCUCGAGUGGCGAACGGGUGAGUAACACGUGAGUAACCUGCCCUUGACUUUGGGAUAACUUCAGGAAACUGGGGCUAAUACCGGAUAGGAGCUCCUGCUGCAUGGUGGGGGUUGGAAAGUUUCGGCGGUUGGGGAUGGACUCGCGGCUUAUCAGCUUGUUGGUGGGGUAGUGGCUUACCAAGGCUUUGACGGGUAGCCGGCCUGAGAGGGUGACCGGCCACAUUGGGACUGAGAUACGGCCCAGACUCCUACGGGAGGCAGCAGUGGGGAAUAUUGCACAAUGGGCGGAAGCCUGAUGCAGCAACGCCGCGUGCGGGAUGACGGCCUUCGGGUUGUAAACCGCUUUCGCCUGUGACGAAGCGUGAGUGACGGUAAUGGGUAAAGAAGCACCGGCUAACUACGUG